rnacentral:rRNA from 1 species
GGUAGGACUACCCGCUGAACUUGAGCAUAUCAAUAAGCC